GGGGAAUAUUGGACAAUGGGCGAAAGCCUGAUCCAGCCAUGCCGCGUGUGUGAAGAAGGUCUUCGGAUUGUAAAGCACUUUAAGUUGGGAGGACGGGCUGCAAGUUAAUACCUUGUAGUUUUGACGUUACCAACAGAAUAAGCACCGGCUAACUUCGUCCCAGCAGCCGCGGUAAUACGAAGGGUGCAAGCGUUAAUCGGAAUUACUGGGCGUAAAGCGUGCGUAGGCGGCUUUUUAAGUCGGAUGUGAAAUCCCCGAGCUUAACUUGGGAAUUGCAUUCGAUAGUGGGAAGCUAGAGUAUGGGAGAGGAGGGUAGAAUUCCAGGUGUAGUGGUGAAAUGCGUAGAGAUCUGGAGGAAUACCGAUGGCGAAGGCAGCCAUCUGGCCUAAUACUGACGCUGAGGUACGAAAGCAGGGGGAGCAAACA
rnacentral:rRNA from 1 species